CAAUAAGCAGUCACCAUAGUAUUUAAGAGAGAGAUAAAAUACAAAAUUAUAAUACCUUAAUGAAAAUGAUUCUCUAUUGUUAAGUUACUAUUCAACAUUUUUAUCAGUAUCAGUGUUGGUCUUAUAAGUUGACCGCCACUGUCGACAGCAGGAGAUAGAGGAGCGUCUGAUUGAGGAGGAGACGGCACGACGCGUAGAGGAACUUGUGGCCAAACGUGUGGAGGAGGAACUGGAAAAGCGAAAGGAUGAGAUUGAAAGAGAAGUGUUGCGGCGGGUGGAGGAGGCCAAACGCAUCAUGGAGAAACAGUUGCUAGAGGAGCUGGAGAGACAGAGACAAGCAGAACUGGCUGCUCAGAAAGCUCGGGAGGAGGAAGAGAAAUCAAAGCGUGAAGAACUGGAGAAGAUUCUGGUGGAGAACAAUCGCAAGAUAGCCGACGCUCAAGCUA